rnacentral:rRNA from 1 species
AUUGAACGCUGGCGGCAGGCCUAAUACAUGCAAGUCGAACGGUAACAUAAGAAAGCUUGCUUUCUUGAUGACGAGUGGCGGACGGGUGAGUAAUAUUUGGGAAGCUACCUGAUAGAGGGGGACAACAGUUGGAAACGACUGCUAAUACCGCAUAUAGCCUAAGGGUGAAAGCAGCGAUGCGCUAUCAGAUGCGCCCAAACGGGAUUAGCUAGUAGGUGAGGUAAAGGCUCACCUAGGCGACGAUCUCUAGCUGGUCUGAGAGGAUGAUCAGCCACAUUGGGACUGAGACACGGCCCAGACUCCUACGGGAGGCAGCAGUGGGGAAUAUUGCACAAUGGGCGAAAGCCUGAUGCAGCGACGCCGCGUGAGUGAAGAAGUAUUUCGGUAUGUAAAGCUCUAUCAGCAGGGAAGAAAAUGACGGUACCUGACUAAGAAGCACCGGCUAAAUACGUGCCAGCAGCCGACGG